rnacentral:tRNA from 1 species
GGAUGUUGCUCAGUGGUAGAAUGUUUGCCUGCCAUGCACAAAGACCUGGGUUCAAUCUUCAGCACCA